GGACCUGGGUUCAGGUUAAGAGUACACAUCGCUCUUGCAGAGGACCUGGGUUCAGGUUAAGAGUACACAUCGCUCUUGCAGAGGACCUGGGUUCAGGUUAAGAGUACACAUCGCUCUUGCAGAGGAC